GGCUCAAGUUCCACAUUGGUAUCAACCGGUACGAGCUGUACUCCAGACACAACCCGGCCAUCGAGGCCCUGCUGCACGACCUCAGCUCCCAGAGGAUCACCAGCGUGGCAGAUUUUACUGGCACCUCCUGCAUGUCAGACCCCCUUUCUGGGUGGUGGGGAGUUGAGGAUGAGUUCAGCCUCAACGAGAUCUGCUGCCUCUGUGGACCUGACAGCCCCAGGAAGAGACACACACGCACAGUGCCCGAUCCUGAGGAGGAACGAGCACUUCAGAGCCGUGCACGCCAGCCAGGCCGUGUGGAGAGGAGGGGGCUCCACUGGGAGGGGCUGAGGACCUUCCACAGGGUCUGUCGGGCAGCUUACCUUCCAGGUGGGUCCGUCUUGGCAGGGAGAGGAAUGAGAGAGCCGUGCACACCAGCCAGGGCGUUCGGGAGGAGCAGCACGCAAGUUAGAAAGUCCCCAGUGCCGCUGUCCGUAUGAGCUUCUCUCCAGCUCAUUUUCCCCAUCUGUCCAGUGGGAUCUCGCUGCGUGGGACCAAUGCAAGGAUAGGAUGAG
rnacentral:lncRNA from 10 species